UAUGCCCUGUGCUCUAUGAGCAUGGCUGUGUGAUGGGCUCCAGGGCAAGGGCUUUGGUUCCUUGCUCUGCUCCCUGUCUGCUGAAGGACUCUGAGUGCCAGACUGCCUGACUUAUUGGUAACGACAACGACAAAAGCCACCCAGUGGGAGGAAUACCUUGAGACUUGCCCAGGUUGAGAGCACAUGAGGGUUCUUUACUUUGCUGGAGCUGGAGAAGAGUCAGACAUCUCUCUCUCCCGUUCCAAGGACCACGGACCCUUGCAGAGGAGAGGGGUGGAAAGAAUGGAAGGCCUGGAGGACAAAAGGUUGCAGGGUUGUACGGGACCAUCCUCGGAGCCAAACCACCGCCAUCUUCAGAGACACACAUGAAUGUGCUACUACGAGCCAGCAGAGGUCAAGCGAGUCUCCCAAGGUCACAAGCCAGUGAGCUGAAAAGCAGAGGUUGCAUCCUGAUGCCUCCAAACCACCUCAGCCCGUCAGUCCAGUCUCCCAGUUCUGUUUAUGAUAAACCGGGUCGGGAGCCAUUCCAUGGUCUUCCAUUGGAUGCUUUUUUGCCAAGAGCUGCAGUGGCCUAAGAAGACUCCGAGAAGGUCUGCAGGGGAGAAGCCCAUGCUGCCUAGCUGACUAGUGUGCCCCCAGUCAUUUGGUGGUGAAACUGUCAGGACUGAGCCCUGCAGAUCCUGGGUCUCACUGGACUCUACGGAACCUGUGGCCAGCUGAGCUGAGACUCUUGACGUCAUUCCCUAUAAACAGGUAUAGUGGGAUUGUGACUCUGGAAAAGCUGGACUCCCUGGCUUUGAAACUUGAGGAAGUUAACCACCUUGACAAGCAGGGUAGCAGGGAGAAAGCGCUAGAGCCUGGAAGCCCCAAAUCCUGGAGUUUCACUCACCGUGUGCUUUACCAGCCAUAGAAGACCCGAUGUUCUAGUGAUCUCCUAGCUCUCUACCCCUCCACAUUGCCUUGCAUAUUUCUCAUUUUAAAAUAUUUUUUGUUUAUUUUAUGUGUUUGUUCCUGCACGUGUGCCUGCGCACCAUAUGUGUGUCUGGUGCCUGUGGAGGCCGAAGAGUGUACUAGAUCUCCUGGAAUUGGAGUUACAGGUGGUUGUGAGCUGCCACGUGGAUGCGGGGAACAGAACCCAGGUCCUCUGGAAGAACAGCCAGUGCUCUUAACUAUGGAUCCAACCUCCAUAAUUCCUGUCUUUAUAGCCAAGGAAACUGAGGCUCAGAAAGAUUUGUGCUUUCUGUAUUGGUCACUUUACCCAAUGUCGUCUUUGGAACCUCAGUCAGCCUGGCUUCAAAGCCUCCGUUGUUAUUUCUUCCUUUGGGAUUUUUGAGACAAGAUCUGACCUCAGCCUCCUGAGUGUGCUCCUGCGAUUACAGGUGUGUGCCAUUACACUCAGCUUCAAAGCCCACAAAGCCAUCGUGGUGCACCCCUCCUAGGGUAAAUCAGUGUAUCUCAGGGGUCUCAACUUCUCUUGUCAAUGAACCAAUAAGGCUGCAUUUUUUUCUGAGCUAAUUCUGUAGAAAGACCCUGCCCAGAAUGGCAUAGGAUAUUAAUAAAUGAGAGAUUGCUUUUACCCUUGGCCAGGGGUGUCCAUCCCUUGAAAGCAGGAGGAAGCCUUACCCCUGCCUCCUCCGACAAAAUGAAUUGAGCUUCUUGGGUAGCAUCCUUGGGGAUACUGGGAAUGUGGAUACAGGUGGAUCCAGGGGUGAUGAAAAUCACUGUCUCUUGCUUUGAACUCCCUUGAGGCAGCCUCAGGUGAAGCCUGGCCCUAAAAUAUUCUAAACCACUCCUCAGGGCAGAUUGCAGUAAAUCUCAUCAGAAUCCGCUGCCUGUAAUGGCUUGUAAAUUGUGGUUCAUAAUUCAGCCAGUGCCUGGGUCGCAGGCUGGCUCACUGUUUCUUGUUCUCCUCCCUGCAGCUCACACAAGUCCCUGGUAAAAGCAAUAAAUUGGAAAUAAGGGGCACCCUGCUAACUAAAUUUCACUUGUCAGCUUUAAGAUCUCAUGCUGGGUGUUAAGUUCACACAAAUAUCUUA